rnacentral:rRNA from 1 species
UACGUAGGGUGCGAGCGUUGUCCGGAAUUAUUGGGCGUAAAGAGCUCGUAGGCGGUGUGUCGCGUCGGUCGUGAAAACUUGGGGCUUAACCCUGAGCUUGCGGUCGAUACGGGCAUCACUGGAGUUCGGCAGGGGAGACUGGAAUUCCUGGUGUAGCGGUGAAAUGCGCAGAUAUCAGGAAGAACACCUAUGGCGAAAGCAGCUCUCUGGGACGGUACUGACGCUGAGACGCGAAAGCGUGGGGAGCGAACAGG